rnacentral:rRNA from 1 species
CAGUCGCCGCGGGAAUACGAAGGGGGCUAGCGUUGCUCGGAAUCACUGGGCGUAAAGGGUGCGUAGGCGGGUCCUUAAGUCAGGGGUGAAAUCCUGGAGCUCAACUCCAGAACUGCCUUUGAUACUGAAGAUCUUGAGUUCGGGAGAGGUGAGUGGAACUGCGAGUGUAGAGGUGAAAUUCGUAGAUAUUCGCAAGAACACCAGUGGCGAAGGCGGCUCACUGGCCCGAUACUGACGCUGAGGCACGAAAGCGUGGGGAGCAAACAGGAUUAGAUACCCCAGUAGUCCCUGUCUCUUAUAC